rnacentral:rRNA from 1 species
AGUGAACGCUGGCGGUAGGCCUAACACAUGCAAGUCGAACGGCAGCACAGUAAGAGCUUGCUCUUACGGGUGGCGAGUGGCGGACGGGUGAGGAAUACAUCGGAAUCUACUUUUUCGUGGGGGAUAACGUAGGGAAACUUACGCUAAUACCGCAUACGACCUACGGGCGAAAGCAGGGGAUCUUCGGACCUUGCGCGAUUGAAUGAGCCGAUGUCGGAUUAGCUAGUUGGCGGGGUAAAGGCCCGCCAAGGCGACGAUCCGUAGCUGGUCUGAGAGGAUGAUCAGCCACACUGGAACUGAGACACGGUCCAGACUCCUACGGGAGGCAGCAGUGGGGAAUAUUGGACAAUGGGCGCAAGCCUGAUCCAGCCAUACCGCGUGGGUGAAGAAGGCCUUCGGGUUGUAAAGCCCUUUUGUUGGGAAAGAAAAGCAGCAGGUUAAUACCCCGCUGUUCUGACGGUACCCAAAGAAUAAGCACCGGCUAACUUCGUG